UCUUAGAACCAAAGAAUUUGGGUUCAGAAUGAUCCUUAUCUUGUGUAAACUGUAAGAUGUUACAGUCUAACUGGGGAGACAGGCUACCGAGUAAACCUCCACCGUGAAGUGUAACUACUGCUUUGUAGGAAAAAUCCAAUUGCAUCUAGCACACGGUGGCAGCACUGAGGGCAGGAACGCUUUGUAAGGGCGGAAACGGACAGGGUGAGUCAGGAGUCAGUGUGGCAAAGGAGAAUGGUAAGGAGGGAGCAGGUCAGAGGGUGUUUAAAGGAGAGCUACGUGCAAAGUAAAGCUGCGGGGGAAAACCUUCCUCGUGAAAAGCUGGUGCUUCAGCUGCAGGACUAGGGGUUGACCUCAAGACCUGGUACACGGUAUACGGGAGCUCUCCUGCCAGGCUACGCUUCCACCCUGAGUUUGCGCCUCUCCUGGCCUAGGAAGCCCUCACCAGGAGGAGCCCGAAGGAACGCCCGCCCCGCUACUUGAUCAAAGGCAGAGUGUGCCUGAAGUCAUUUUGCAAAACAACCAACCAAAAGGCCUUUGACGUCGGAGAGGAUGUAUGUGGGGCAGAAGAACUAACUACGAGAAUCCUGUGCUCACAACAUCUGCAGCUACAACUCGGAGACAUCAUACAGGCAUUUACUGGGUGUGAGCAAUCAGCAUGUUACAGGUCUGACUAGUUUGCAGCUCCAGUGGGCUGCCUGAGGGUUCGGAAGACAGGUUUCACAAAGAAAAAUCACUGUCACCUCAGCUUCAGACAACCACUAAAUUCUGCCUACGAAUCUUGUAGGAGGCGCUUCAUAUCCAUGGAGCAAAUGUGAGCAUAAAGAAAUGGUGUUGGGACAAACAGCCAUCUGUAAGUAAAGUUGGAAGUAUACCUCAUACUGUACCAAAACGAAUUUCUGAUAGAGAAAACAUAAAUGUUAAAAACUUUGAUCAGAAAAUAUAUAUAGCCCAGGGGUGAUGGUGCAUGCCCAUAAUCCCAAGCACUCUGGGAAACUGAGGCAUGAGAUCCCAAGUUUGAGCCCAGCCUGCACAAUUUGGUGAUUGUCACUCAUUCUACCACUAAGCUACACCCACCAUCCUCUGUGUGUGUGUGUGUGUGCGUGCCGCAGCGUGCCGCACGCGAGCGAGCGUGUGUGUGUGUGUGUGUGUGUGUGUGUGUGUGGUCUUGUUGUUGUUUUUAUUUUCUAGUACUGGUGUUGCAUCCAGGUUGAGCAGCCCACCAGGAUCAGAAACUCAGCAGCAAUAACAAAUUAAAGGGAUGGAGUUUAAGAAGGGAAGCCGAUUUAUUUGUAAGGAGGAAAAAAUAGAAGACACAAAGCUGCCAGGAUAGAGAGCAGGGGCUGCAGAUGAUAUGUGUGUGUCGUCGUGUGUGUCGGGGGGGUCCGCCCCUGCCCCAGCCCUGGUCCCAGGCUCCUUUUGUUAGGUCUGGGGACCCUUCCUUUCGGGUGGGUGGUAACCUGAUCAGUCUCUGGGCGGUCUUUGGGUGGACUCCAGGUCCCCAGAUCCUAACCUGGGUACUUUUGCCUGUGUGCACAAUCCUUUCGGUGGGCUUUCUUUCACUUCUUGCCCUGUUGUGAUCUGCAAGUUGUUGGGAAGGGAUCCUUUUAAGGUUAGUGACUAAGUAAAGGCGUGUGUGUAUAUCUAGUGCAGUAAUAUUGUGCCUCUACAGUGUUUUUAAAUACUAAAUAAAUUUUCUUGUAAAUUAGGUAGCCAUCCCUUGUCUCCCUGACAUUUUAUUGGGGGGAGUGGUGUCCUGGUUUUCAUGCUUCCGG
ensembl:lncRNA